CAACAAGCUUUUUCCACUUUCGCGCAAAAAAUUGCAAGAACACCAGAUUGCAGUUGAUGUAAGCUACGUUCGCGGUGACGGAAUUACCUUACAGUUGUCGAAUCGCCAUAAUAUAUACUGGGAAACAUCAAAUCACAAUCCUUCGUGACAAACAACUCUCCUUAGCGAUUGAAUCCGCCAUUGGCCUCAAUUCUCAAGUCGCCACCGCUCGUGCGGUCGUCGUCUCGUUUAUAGGUGUAGCUCCGUCGAGUGGAAGCCGUCGCCGGUACUAGCCGUGGCCACCAUCGUUGACGAUUCUCAAGUCGCCGCCGCUCGUGCAGUCACUGGUGUCGUCCUCGGUGAAGGGGAGGAGCUGGCGCUGCUUGAUGUAGUGGGCCUCGGCGUCGGUAAGUCUUCCAUUUUUUAUCUUUGACAAAGAAUUUUUUUUUCAAUGACGGUCGUUUUGGCAUAUUCUAAGAAAUCUGUAGGGUUACAAAAUUAGGGCUUUGGUGUUUACCCUUUAAUAACCCCUGUUAUGGUGUUUUUCAUUUGGCUUUCAUAUACCUGUUUUCUGCUGCUGCUGGUGCAUGCCUGGCAUGCUGGUUCUUGUUUUGUAGGAUAUUGCAGAGGCCAAGGACCAGACCACGUGAAGGCUGAAGCAAAUUAAUGCCAGCAAAAUGUAGGUGGUAAAGUAAGAUGGCGGCAAUGUAUUUUGUUGACGUUUAUUUCUGGCUAUGAACAGGCAUAUUUGGCAUAUGGAGUCCCAAGAAGUGAAUUGAAGCUCUUUUCUUUGAUGCAAAAGGCAGCAUACACCAUUGGGGGGCAUUCUCUUAGUGCGGCUGCAAUCGAGUAUGUGAUAUUAUUUUCCUUAGCUAGUAUCUUUUUUUAGUCUGGUUCUACUUUGGCAAAGCUUGGUCUAACUGCCUUGCUUGGCUUUCUGCCUCUUGUAUUGAUGAGCUAGUUUAACACUGCUCAUCUACACAGCACAGUACGAUUUAAAAAGGCACGGCACGACA